CUCCCGGCCGCCAUGGCGGCCGCGGGAAUUCGNNNNNCCUACGGGAGGCAGCAGUGGGGAAUUUUCCGCAAUGGGCGAAAGCCUGACGGAGCAACGCCGCGUGAGGGACGAAGGCCUCUGGGCUGUAAACCUCUUUUCUCAAGGAAGAAGAUAUGACGGUACUUGAGGAAUAAGCCACGGCUAAUUCCGUGCCAGCAGCCGCGGUAAUACGGGAGUGGCAGGCGUUGUCCGGAAUUAUUGGGCGUAAAGCGUCCGCAGGCGGCUUUUCAAGUCUGCUGUUAAAGCGUGGAGCUUAACUCCAUCAUGGCAGUGGAAACUGAAAGGCUUGAGUAUGGUAGGGGCAGAGGGAAUUCCCGGUGUAGCGGUGAAAUGCGUAGAUAUCGGGAAGAACACCAGUGGCGAAGGCGCUCUGCUGGGCCAUUACUGACGCUCAUGGACGAAAGCCAGGGGAGCGAAAGGGAUUAGAUACCCCUGUAGUCCUGGCCGUAAACGAUGAACACUAGGUGUCGGGGGAAUCGACCCCCUCGGUGUCGUAGCUAACGCGUUAAGUGUUCCGCCUGGGGAGUAUGCACGCAAGUGUGAAACUCAAAGGAAUUGACGGAAUCACUAGUGAAUUCGCGGCCGCCUGCAGGUCGACCAUAUGGGAGAGCUCCCAACGCGUUGGAUGCAUAGCUUGAGUAUUCUAUAGUGUCACCUAAAUAGCUUGGCGUAAUCAUGGUCAUAGCUGUUUCCUGUGUGAAAUUGUUAUCCGCUCACAAUUCCACACAACAUACGAGCCGGAAGCAUAAAGUGUAAAGCNNNNNGUGCCUAAUGAGUGAGCUAACUCACAUUAAUUGCGUUGCGCUCACUGCCCGCUUUCCAGUCGGGA
rnacentral:rRNA from 1 species